AUGAAAAAUCAUUUUUCAUCUGACUUACAGGAUAUGGCAUCUCUGCAGGAUUCACCAAUGGUGGGGCAACCAAGGCACAGCAGGGAUAUGGAGGAUAUGCUAAUGGAGGAGCAGCUAGGCAACCUAAUACAGGUAUUAUAUUGGACGUCAUCACCUUCUUUGUUAAAUUAAUUUGAUUCUAAAGUUUAAUUAUUACAUUGUGGAUAAUACUGAAUUCUGAAAAGAACUGUGGAUGUUACACUUGUCUAAAAUAUUUUUCUCUAAUUAGGCUCUUUUCUUCAAAAUAUGGGUUAUCCCAAUGGUGGAACCAAGGGACCUAAACCAGGUAAACUUUGUGUAUUUAUGCGUAUGGUGUGUAUUUCUUUUUCCUUUAUCAUUUGAAUGUAUGUUGGUUCUGCUUUAGGAUAUGGUGCUAAAGCUGGACCCUCAAACGGACAAGGAGCCAAGCCUGGUAAAUAGCAUGUGAUUAUUACUAUUUUAAAACACAUAUGUGACCCUGGACAACAAAACCAGUCAUAAGUAGCAUGGGUGUAUUUGAAGCAAUAGCCAACAAUACAUUGUAUGGGUCAAAAUUAUCAAUUCUUUUAUGGUACAAAUCAUUAGGAUAUUAAGUAAAGAUCAUGUUCCAUGAAGAUAUUUGAAAAAUUUCCUAUUGUAAAUGUAUCAAAAUUUAAUAUUUGAUUAGUAAUAUGCAUUGCUAAGAACUUCAUUUGGAAAACUUCAAAGGUGAUUUUCUCAAUAUUUAGAUUUUUUUGCACCCUCAGAUUCCAUCUUGGCCAAAAAUUUAUUUUUUUUUUAUUUUUUUUUUAAUACUCCAAUUGUAGUGAAGCCCCAUUUAGAUUAAUAAACAAUGUUAGUGGUGGAGGAGUGGAUUAUUAGCAGUAAAGGAGGUCUGUAGGCACCUCUUGUGUCCACUGUUUUGCCUUUUUUCCAGUGUGUACAGAAUUUUACAGUUCGUCUUUGGAUAGCUGCAUUAGGUCCAGUUUUAAAUAAACUCUACAUCAUCUAAUGUAAAACCUUAAGUCAUAUCUAUGAUCUGUAGGUUACGGUGUUCCUGGACAUAUGUCAGAAGGACCUUAUAAAGCAGCUAAUUCAGGUAAAUCAUUAUUAUUGAAAGUACUUUAAGCAAUUUUAUUUACUACUUCCAUAUGACACAGAUAAUAGUAGCUUUAUAAUCUGUCAUUCAGAAAUACAUGCAUGUCUCUGCAUGUGAAUUUGCCAUAUUGGAUUGUGUAAGUGUGUAGUAAAAC
ensembl:lncRNA